rnacentral:rRNA from 1 species
UACGUAGGUGGCAAGCGUUGUCCGGAAUUAUUGGGCGUAAAGCGCGCGCAGGCGGUCUCUUAAGUCUGAUGUGAAAUCCCGUGGCUUAAACCACGGGCGGUCAUUGGAAACUGGGGGACUUGAGUGCAGAAGAGAAGAGCGGAAUUCCACGUGUAGCGGUGAAAUGCGUAGAGAUGUGGAGGAACACCAGUGGCGAAGGCGGCUCUUUGGUCUGUAACUGACGCUGAGGCGCGAAAAGCGUGGGGAGCAAACAGG